rnacentral:rRNA from 1 species
UCUCCUGGGAAAAAGGGUGGUAAUGCCGGAUGCUCCAGUUGACCGCAUGGUCCUCUGGGAAAGCUUUUGCGGUAUGGGAUGGGGUCGCGUCCUAUCAGCUUGAUGGCGGGGUAACGGCCCACCAUGGCUUCGACGGGUAGCCGGCCUGAGAGGGCGACCGGCCACAUUGGGACUGAGAUACGGCCCAGACUCCUACGGGAGGCAGCAGUGGGGAAUAUUGCACAAUGGGCGCAAGCCUGAUGCAGCGACGCCGCGUGCGGGAUGACGGCCUUCGGGUUGUAAACCGCUUUUGACUGGGAGCAAGCCCUUCGGGGUGAGUGUACCUUUCGAAUAAGCACCGGCUAACUACGUGCCAGCAGCCGCGGUAAUACGUAGGGUGCAAGCGUUAUCCGGAAUUAUUGGGCGUAAAGGGCUCGUAGGCGGUUCGUCGCGUCCGGUGUGAAAGUCCAUCGCUUAACGGUGGAUCCGCGCCGGGUACGGGCGGGCUUGAGUGCGGUAGGGGAGACUGGAAUUCCCGGUGUAACGGUGGAAUGUGUAGAUAUCGGAAAAGAACACCAC